rnacentral:rRNA from 1 species
GGCGUAAGCGCGCGCAGGCGGUUUCUUAAGUCUGAUGUGAAAGCCCCCGGCUCAACCGGGGAGGGUCAUUGGAAACUGGGGAACUUGAGUGCAGAAGAGGAGAGUGGAAUUCCACGUGUAGCGGUGAAAUGCGUAGAGAUGUGGAGGAACACCAGUGGCGAAGGCGACUUUCUGGUCUGUAACUGACGCUGAGGCGCGAAAGCGUGGGGAGCGAACAGGAUUAGAUACCCUGGUAGUCCACGCCGUAAACGAUGAGUGCUAAGUGUUAGAGGGUUUCCGCCCUUUAGUGCUGCAGCUAACGCAUUAAGCACUCCGCCUGGGGAGUACGGUCGCAAGACUGAAACUCAAAGGAAUUGACGGGGGCCCGCACAAGCGGUGGAGCAUGUGGUUUAAUUCGAAGCAACGCGAAGAACCUUACCAGGUCUUGACAUCCUCUGACAACCCUAGAGAUAGGGCUUCCCCCUUCGGGGCACAGAGUGACGUGUGGCGCGUGUGUGUCCUCCUCUCGUGUCGAGA